rnacentral:rRNA from 1 species
ACUCCUACGGGAGGCAGCAGGUAGGGAAUAUGCACGGAAUCGGGAAGCCUGUGAGCCAUGCCGCGUGUGUGAAGAAGGCCUUCGGGUUGUAAAGCACUUUCAGUAGGGAGGAAGGUAGUGUAGUUAACACCUGCACUAUUUGACGUUACCUACAGAAGAAGCACCGGCUAACUCCGUGCCAGCAGCCUCGGUAAUACGGAGGGUGCGAGCGUUAAUCGGAAUUACUGGGCGUAAAGCGCAUGCAGGCGGCCUGUUAAGUCAGAUGUGAAAGCCCGGGGCUUAACCUCGGAAUUGCAUUUGAAACUGGCAGGCUAGAGUCUUGUAGAGGGGGGUAGAAUUUCAGGGUGUAGCGGUGAAAUGCGUAGAGAUCUGAAGGAAUACCAGUGGCGAAGGCGGCCCCCUGGACAAAGACUGACGCUCAGAUGCGAAAGCGUGGGGAGCAAACAGGAUUAGAUACCCUGGUAGGAUAG